UACGGAGGGUGCGAGCGUUGUCCGGAAUCACUGGGCGUAAAGGGCGCGUAGGCGGCGCGGGGAGUCAACGGUGAAAGCUCGGCGCUCAACGCCGAGUCGGCCGUCGAUACUCCCCGUGCUCGAGCACUGUAGAGGCAGGUGGAAUUCCGGGUGUAGCGGUGGAAUGCGUAGAGAGUCCGGAAGAACACCGGUGGCGAAGGGCGGC
rnacentral:rRNA from 1 species